rnacentral:rRNA from 1 species
GACGAACGCUGGCGGCGUGCCUAACACAUGCAAGUCGAACGGAAAGGCCCGGGCUUGGUGCGGUGGUCGAGUGGCGAACGGGUGAGUAACACGUGAGUAACCUGCCCGGGAGCGUGGGAUAACUUUUGGAAACGGUGGCUAAUACCGCAUAGGAGUACAUGUUGCAUGGCGGUGGCUGAAAAGUUUCGGUGGUUGGGGUAGGAGACGGGGCUUAUCAGCAUGUUGGUGGGGUAGUGGCUUAGCAAGGCGUUGGCGGGUAGCCAGCCUGAGAGGGUGACCGGCCACAUACGGCCUGAGAUACGGCCCAGACUCAUUCGUGAGGCAGCGGUGGGGAACAUUGCGCGCUGGGCGGAAGCCGUAAGCAGCAACGCCGCGUGCGAGAUGACGGCCGUCGGGUUGUAACCCGCGUUCGCCUGUGACGAAGCGUGAGUGACGGUAAUGGGUAAAGAAGCACCGGCUAACUACGUG